rnacentral:rRNA from 1 species
UUUAACUUGCCAGAUCGGGCGGGACGGCGUGCUUUCAACGCGGUAUAGACGUAAU